UACGAGGGGAGCAAGCGUUUGUUCGGAUUUACUGGGCGUAAAGGGCGCGUAGGCGGCCACGACAAGUCACUUGUGAAAUCUCCGGGCUUAACUCGGAACGGUCAAGUGAUACUGUCGGGCUAGAGUACAGAAGGGGCAACUGGAAUUCUCGGUGUAGCGGUGAAAUGCGUAGAUAUCGAGAGGAACACCUGCGGCGAAGGCGGGUUGCUGGGCUGAUACUGACGCUGAUGCGCGAAAGCCAGGGGGAGCGAACGGG
rnacentral:rRNA from 1 species